rnacentral:antisense_RNA from 1 species
AUGCUGACAACGGGUUUUGGUCAUGGUUAAACAGAUAAGCCCACGGCCAUGCGUGGCCAUGAAAUUGAUCGCUUCCGGGGUAAUAUGUUCGGCGGCCAUGAUCA